GGCCUCCAGGUUCCUUAUGCCUCGGAUCUAAAUAUUGGUCUGAGUGGCUAAAAGAGGAGAAGUACAGCUGAAGUGAACAUGGAGUCUUUAAUGGCAUACAAGUUCAUUUCAAACAUAA
rnacentral:snoRNA from 1 species